ensembl:lncRNA
GCUGAAGCAGGAAUUCAUCAUUUUAAAAGAGAGAUCUGGGUUCAACAGGCAGAAUUCAGGAGACAAUCAGAAACAUAAGAGGGUCUUUAAGAUUCAGCUGCAUUAAUAAAACAGACAGAUGCAGAUGAACAAGAAUAAAUAAGAGUUUAGAAGCUCAGAAUGUAGCAAAAAAAAUGUCCUGAGGAGCCUGAGUCUGAGUAAAUCUGCCACAAUGAUGAUGAUGAUGAUGAAGAUGGUGAAGAUGAUGAAGAUGACGAUGAUCAUUCUCUAAACAUGGAGCCGUUGAUCUGCUCAGAUUCAGAUUGAUUCAGUGAAUCAGAUUCAUCAGAUCUGAGCUGCAUUUGGACACCAGAUUCAGGAUCCCUGAGAGAAUCAGAUUCAGAUUGAUUCAGUGAAUCAGAUUCAUCAGAUCUGAGCUGCAUUUGGACACCCGGUUCAGGAUCUCUGAGAGAAUCAGAUUCAGAUU